rnacentral:rRNA from 1 species
AUUGAACGCUGGCGGCAGGCUUAACACAUGUAAGUCGAGCGGAGCGAGGGUGCUUGCACCUUAGCUUAGCGGCGGACGGGUGAGUAAUGCUUAGGAAUCUGCCUAUUAGUGGGGGACGACAUUCCGAAAGGAAUGCUAAUACCGCAUACGCCCUACGGGGGAAAGCAGGGGAUCUUCGGACCUUGCGCUAAUAGAUGAGCCUAAGUCGGAUUAGCUAGUUGGUGGGGUAAAGGCCUACCAAGGCGACGAUCUGUAGCGGGUCUGAGAGGAUGAUCCGCCACACUGGGACUGAGACACGGCCCAGACUCCUACGGGAGGCAGCAGUGGGGAAUAUUGGACAAUGGGCGGAAGCCUGAUCCAGCCAUGCCGCGUGUGUGAAGAAGGCCUUUUGGUUGUAAAGCACUUUAAGCGAGGAGGUGGCUACUUAGAUUAAUACUCUGGGAUAGUGGACGUUACUCGCAGAAUAAGCACCGGCUAACUCUGUGCCAGCAGCCGCCGUAA